UGUGUGUGUGUGUGUGUGUGUACCGCGCAUAUGCACGAUCGCGAAAUCGCUUUAGAUGCGGGAAAAAAAUAAGACAAGAUAUUUUUAUAUCGGAUCGUGGGGAAUUGGUCGAAGGCAAAGGAAAAGGUGACACGUUGCUAUUUUUGGAGAGACAGAACGUGCCGGGCCGAUACCUGUUUGAAGUGGCUAGUUUUCAUUAUACACGCAUGCUACUCGUAUAUCGCGCGCAAACUCACUCGUCAAGGAUGCUAAUUCUCUUCUCCCGUUCCGUCUUCUUCCAUUUUCUUCUUUAGCCAUUUUUUAUUGUUUCACUUAUCCCCUUUAAUUUCAUUUAGUUGGCGACGAUACUUAAAGCUUAUCUUUUCUGAUUGCGUAGCCAAUCUAAAUAUUACUAAACUUCAAUGCGUUCGUCCAAUUCUUUGAUAUUCCAUUCGUUUCAAUAGAUAAUUGGAUACGUAUAACGUGGCGUUGAGACUAAUUACGUAUAUAAUGACAGUAAAUGGGAAAGUACUAGGAAUUUGUGUUAAAAUUUCUACGCUUUGACGAGACGCACAAAGUAUCAUCUCUUUUUGUGGCAACUCAAGCGUCGAAACAGAGACGACGAUUCGGUCGAUUAAUCCGGUAGCGUGGUAUUAUCGGUAAGUCGAUACAGCGCACAGAUAAUUCUACACCACCGAUCAGUUACGCCUCGAAAUAAAUAUCCAAGUUGACGGUACGAUUUAGGUGUGCCCUCGAUCAUUUUCAACGAAUUAAAGACGACUUAUGCACUUACGCACGACAUCUAAUUAUAUGCACACAAAAUAUCCGUGACCAAUAAAAGUGACCAUUUCAAAGUCACUCGAAUUAUUUAUAAACUUGAAAAAUUGUUUCUUAUAUCAAUGAAGUCGUUUCGUGAGUCACGAGCGAGCGUCCCCAUAUCGAAGUUCAAAUUGAACACACCCUUUUACACGACACGCGUACGUGGCUACUUGUACUGGCAAGACUUGAAAUUUUUCUAAGGGUGUCUGCCUGCAGGCAGACACCCUCGACUUACGUCUACGCAAAUUAACUCCAUUUUGAUCACGCUUUAACAAACGGAGCCUGUCUUUUUAAUAGCUUUGUACUUCUCAUUAGGCGCGCUACUCUACAAAAACCUAUCCUUCUUCCUAUCUCUCUUUGUUACUACUAUUCGCUUCUCAUCGAAAGCACCGCGUUCGAGCACCAUAUUAUCUACGUAACGAAAUGUGUCUGGACGCGUUGUAUUUUUCUUUUUUCCUCUUUCUUCGUAAAAACGAGCUAUUCGUAAAAAUAUUAACAAAGCUGCGAAUAUUUCAAAUCGUUAACAUCCAAGAGAAUUGCCUCCAACCGCGAGCAGGCACCAAGGGAUGCUGCGCGACGACGCGCCGUUUUAUUAUCGAUUCCAAUGUCUGCCGUUCCUGCCAGUUCUCCCUUCUCCGCGCUCCCUCUCCCAUUCUAACUUCGACCCCUCGCCUUUUACUCAGCCUUUGUACGCACCCUCCUUUCUACGCCCACGUGCAUAGAGUUCGUACUUUACGCUGGAUUCGUAUGCUUUACUGCAUCCGAUACUGCACGGCAACGCUUUAAAGCCAAACGCUUCAAUUUUCUUUUAAUCUUUGCGAUCAAAUACAAAUUGUAUUCGUCCAAAUUGUAAAGAAAAUGUUCUCUUUGAAAGAAAAAAGUAAAAAAAGAAAGGAACAAUUUUACUCUUCGUGCAAUAAAAUUAUCUAAUGGAAACGAUCGGCGAUUACGAUCACCGAACGAGGAAGAUAAGGGAGAGAGCGAGAGAUAACACAAAUCGGUCGCUGACUCAUUCACGAUACAAUGCUAGCGAUACCGGCGAUUUGCGCAUAUUUAAAUGACGGAUGAAUGAUUCUACUUCACGUUGUUGCUCAAAUCUGAACGUACGUUCGUCGUAAUUCUCAAUAAAUGAUGUCAUCGAUUGUCAUGCCGUAAGUUAAUAUCGUGGCGACGUCAUCUCAUUGGGACCGACGACAUUGGGCAUAGUUGGUAAUGUAAAGGGUGCAGGAAGAGAAAAUGGGUCACACUUCAUCAAUUUGUCAUACGUGAUGUCAUCAAGGGCAAUUCUAUUCAAGAAUUUUAGCCCACAAGAUAUUAGCACAGUGAGAAACGAAAUUACUUAAUACCUAUUAAGAAGAUGGAAACCUACGAAAAAAUUGAAAAUAUUUGUUAUUUUUCUUUACAAUUUACAAAGAUACAAAGAUCGGUCUCACCGAUAUUAUACUUCCGACUGGGAUGCUUCGCAAUAGCAUAUGGAUCUACAACUUUUAUGAUCGUGUAUGUGCAAAUUUCAUGCAAAUGUCGUCCUCCAUUGAACGGUAAUUACCAUUACCGACACUCGACCGUUAUUAGAUUUCUCUUUCACGUUCAACCAGCAGCGUGUGCCUACAAUAAAAUGUUAAUUACCACGUAUAUCGACUUACAUACGGGAUUCUUGCACCGUAAGAAAUCGCUGGAUUAAUGCGACCGGAAGUCGUGGUAUAACGCCGUUUAGCUUUUAAAUCGUAAAUAAAGGGCCGAAGAUACAUAAAAUGUUUGCCACCGCAGCUAUUUUUUAAUGAAAACUUCAAGUCACCGACACUAGACGUUUCUACGAAGUUCAUUAAAAUACCAGCAGCUUCUGUGCGUUCUUCUCGUACGGCGUCGAAUAGACUAAAGCUUGCAUUGUUUUGGGUCGUGAAUAGGCGAAAGUUCGCAUAUAUAUGCAUACAGCAUAUAUAUAUAUAUAUAUACAUAUAUAUAUAUAUAUAUAUAUAUAUAUAUAUAUAUAUAUAUAUACGUGUGCAAGUAUAAUCAAUGAUACAAAAGUAAAUGCAUAUAUCGCGUAGGAAUUCGAUUGUAUAAUUAAUAUGAUAACUGUGCUAGAUCUCCUGAACGGUCAGAUUGUUCAUUUCUCUUAAAAAAAUAUUGUAUUUUACAAUAAAGAGUAUUUAAGCCAGUUGGAAUUACGAUAAAUCGCGAAUCUAUCGUUAUCGCGGUAUAAAAAUAAAAAAAUAAUCGGAAUUACUUCUUAGAUUGCGUCUACUGGCAUGAUAAUGACAUAAACCGCACGAACGUUUUCCGCCUAGCGGGAUAGACAACGAUACGGAUUUAACGCUGAUGUAAUCGCCAUGCGAUCGGAUCUUUAUCGACGUGCGGUUGUUAAACGGUUAAAGAGAACAUUCCAAGUGAGAUGUUAUCUUUAAUCCAUCCUCCAGUGCAGCAUGUUUUCGAGCUCCCGACGGCAGGUUGUUUCAUCGUCCAAGCAGAAAUCCGAAGGAGAGCUUUUUCCAUUUGAGUUAGACUCGAGUGAACCUGCUAUAGAAAGCAAAGCGACACAGGACAGCUAUUGGAUCAUGGUCCAAAUGCGAUGCAAACGACUCACUUUGAUGUCGUUUAAGGAAAAGAUGGCGCGACGAUCGAGAUAGACGAGAAAGAUCAUGCUGAAACAAAGUCAUCUCGACUAAGGAGAGAGCAUUGGCAACGUUGCGGUCCAAAAACAGUUCGAGAGGAAGGAGCUCUGUGCUUAAAGUGUGCUUCCUACUACGAUAAAUGGUUUUCAACAUCGGUAUAUCAGGGUUGCCAGAUCUGCAGUGGCAUUAAAAAACCGACACAAAAUACAUAUGUAUAUAGAUUCCGACUCGUCCUUCGAUUCCUGCUACGGAGACCCCUCGAUGUUGUACGACGAUUUUUCAGCGAUUUUAUACACACACAUAUGUAUCUAUAUAUAUAUGUAUAUAUAUAUAUAUAUAUAUAUAUAUAUAUAUAUACACAUAUAUAUUUGGACGCAACUUUUAUUUCACGUAUUAUCUGCUAGACCAAUUCUACGAUUGUUAUACGAGUAUAUGCAUAUAAUCAUGGCGAAGUUGCGUGCUUGGUAAACAAUCCUAGAAACUGACGAUACAAUGUUCACGCGCAAGCGAGAGAGGCGUAUCUUUAUAAAAGUAUAAUAAAGAAUUUUUAGAAAUUGGCAAGACA